rnacentral:miRNA from 1 species
CAUCUCUGUAAAUUUUCAGCC